CGUAGGUGGCAAGCGUUGUCCGGAUUUAUUGGGUUUAAAGGGUGCGUAGGCGGUCUUAUAAGUCAGUGGUGAAAUACGGCAGCUCAACUGUCGAGGUGCCAUUGAUACUGUAGGACUAGAGUACUGUUGAGGUAGGCGGAAUGGACGGUGUAGCGGUGAAAUGCUUAGAUAUCGUCCAGAACACCGGUAGCGAAGGCAGCUUACUAAAGAGUAACUGACGCUGAGGCACGAAAGUGUGGGGAUCAAACAGGAUUAGAUACCCUGGUAGUCCACACUGUAAACGAUGAUCACUAGAUGUUGGCGAUACACUGCCAGCGUUCCAGCAAAAGCGAUAAGUGAUCCACCUGGGGAUACGCCCGCAAGGGU
rnacentral:rRNA from 1 species